rnacentral:rRNA from 1 species
CAGUAGCCGCGGGAAUACGGAGGGUGCAAGCGUUAAUCGGAAUUACUGGGCGUAAAGCGCACGCAGGCGGUCUGUCAAGUCAGAUGUGAAAUCCCCGGGCUUAACCUGGGAACUGCAUCUGAAACUGGCAGGCUUGAGUCUUGUAGAGGGGGGUAGAAUUCCAGGUGUAGCGGUGAAAUGCGUAGAGGUCUGGAGGAAUACCGGUGGCGAAGGCGGCCCCCUGGACAAAGACUGACGCUCAGGUGCGAAAGCGUGGGGAGCAAACAGGAUUAGAUACCCGCGUAGUCCCUGUCUCUUAUAC